CUCUUAGAUGUUCUGGGCCGCACGCGUGCUACACUGAGUGGAUCAGCGGGUCAGGUUGCGCGAAAGCGUUUCCUAAUCUUUAAAUCCGCUCGUGAUGGGGAUUGACGGUUGCAAUUUUCUGUCAUGAACGAGGAAUACCUUGUAAGCGUGGGUCAUCAUCCCGCGCUGAAUACGUCCCUGCCCUUUGUACACACCGCCCGUCGCUCCUACCGAUUGAGUGGUCCGGUGAGGCUUUGGGAUCUGAGCGGAAAGAGCGUUUCGCUGUUUCUGCUCGGAAAACUCAGUCGAACCUUAUCAUUUAGAGGAAGGAGAAGUCGUAACA
rnacentral:rRNA from 1 species